CCUACGGGAGGCAGCAGUGGGGGAUAUUGCACAAUGGGGGAAACCCUGAUGCAGCGACGCCGCGUGUGGGAAGACGGUCUUCUGGAUUGUAAACCACUGUCCCCAGGGACGAAAAUGACGGUACCUGGGGAGUAAGCUCCGGCUAACUACGUGCCAGCAGCCGAGGUAAUACGUAGGGAGCAAGCGUUGUCCGGAAUUACUGGGUGUCAAGGGAGCGUAGGCGGGGAUGCAAGUUGGGUGUCAAAACUACCGGCUCAACCGAUAGUCGCACUCAAAACUGCAGUUCUUGAGUGAAGUAGAGGCAGGCGGCAUUUCUAGUGUAGCGGUGAAAUGCGUAGAUAUUAGGAGGAACACCAGUGGCGAAGGCGGCCUGCUGGGCUUUUACUGACGCUGAGGCUCGAAAGUGUGGGGAGCAAACAGGAUUAGAUACCCCUGUAGUC
rnacentral:rRNA from 1 species